rnacentral:rRNA from 1 species
GGUGUAGGCGGUGAAGUAAGUCGAAUGUGAAAGCCCAGGGCCCAACCCUGGAACUGCAUUCGAAACUGCUUCACUAGAGUCCCGGAGGGGAAGGCGGAAUUCCCGGUGUAGAGGUGAAAUUCGUAGAUAUCGGGAGGAACACCAGUGGCGAAGGCGGCCUUCUGGACGGUGACUGACGCUCAGACCCGAAAGCGUGGGGAGCAAACAGGAUUAGAUACCCUGGUAGUC